UGGGGAAUAUUGCACAAUGGGCGCAAGCCUGAUGCAGCCAUGCCGCGUGUAUGAAGAAGGCCUUCGGUUUGUAAAGUACUUUCAGCGGGGAGGAAGGGAGUAAAGUUAAUACCUUUGCUCAUUGACGUUACCCGCAGAAGAAGCACCGGCUAACUCCGUGCCAGCAGCCGCGGUAAUACGGAGGGUGCAAGCGUUAAUCGGAAUUACUGGGCGUAAAGCGCACGCAGGCGGUUUGUUAAGUCAGAUGUGAAAUCCCCGGGCUCAACCUGGGAACUGCAUCUGAUACUGGCAAGCUUGAGUCGCGUAGAGGGGGGUAGAAUUCCAGGUGUAGCGGUGAAAUGCGUAGAGAUCUGGAGGAAUACCGGUGGCGAAGGCGGCCCCCUGGACGAAGACUGACGCUCAGGUGCGAAAGCGUGGGGAGCAAACAGG
rnacentral:rRNA from 1 species